CCUACGGUGUGCUGCAGUGGGGGAUAUUGCACAAUGGGGGGAACCCUGAUGCAGCGACGCCGCGUGGGUGAAGGAGCGUUUCGGCGCGUAAAGCCCUAUCGGCAGGGAAGAAGGAGGACGGUACCUGACUAAGAAGCACCGGCUAACUACGUGCCAGCAGCCGCGGUAAUACGUAGGGGGCAAGCGUUAUCCGGAUGUACUGGGUGUAAAGGGGGCGCAGACGGCAGCGCAAGCCAGGAGUGAAAGCCCGGUGCCCAACCCCGGGACGGCUCUUGGAACUGCGCGGCUGGUGUGCAGGAGGGGCAGGCGGAAUUCCUGGUGUAGCGGGGAAAUGCGUAGAUAUCAGGAGGAAAACCGGUGGCGAAGGCGGCCUGCUGGACUGCGACUGACGUUGAGGCCCGAAAGCGUGGGGAGUAAACAGGAUUAGAUACCCGAGUAGUC
rnacentral:rRNA from 1 species